UUAGGGUUUGUCGAUCUCAUAUGUGAUUUUGGGGUUUAGUUCAGUCUCGAGCUUGAAGAAUUGGGAUUAUUUGCAUUUUAUGCAUUUAGGGAUUUCGAUUCUGUGUUGUGUUUGUCUUUAGUUGGGCACGUUCUCUUUUUUUAAUUGAAGUUUGAAUUUGCAAAUGCGCAAUUCUUUAAUUCCUUCAGUUACUUGAACGCUUUAAUUGUCAUUUUUGUAGCACUUGAGUCCUAAUUAUUAUUCUCCUCUAUGCCUUGCAUUUGUUUUCUUAUGUCACCAUUAUAUAUUUUUUUGACGGUGGAUUGUUGCUCACAUGUUGGAUGUGAAGAUUUUUGUUCUUGUUUUUGGUGUCUUUGGGACUUGUAAAGAUCAUGAAGUAGAACUGUGAUCAUAUUCUUUUUGACUUUUGAAUUGGCUGACUUGAAUUAUAGGAAGAGCUGGGGUCCCCAUGGAA
rnacentral:misc_RNA from 1 species